GAUGAACGCUGGCGGCGUGCCUAAUACAUGCAAGUCGAGCGAACAGACGAGGAGCUUGCUCCUCUGACGUUAGCGGCGGACGGGUGAGUAACACGUGGAUAACCUACCUAUAAGACUGGGAUAACUUCGGGAAACCGGAGCUAAUACCGGAUAAUAUAUUGAACCGCAUGGUUCAAUAGUGAAAGACGGUUUUGCUGUCACUUAUAGAUGGAUCCGCGCCGCAUUAGCUAGUUGGUAAGGUAACGGCUUACCAAGGCAACGAUGCGUAGCCGACCUGAGAGGUUGGUGGAGGAGGCGUGAAGGAAGGCACGGUAGACAGGCAAACGGGAGGGAGAAGAAGGGAAGAUUCGGAAAGAGGCGAAAGCCGGAUGAAGCAGUGCCGCAUGAGGGAAGAAGGUCGUAGGAUCGUAGAACUCUUUUAGUAGGGAAGAACAAAGGUGUACGUGACUAUGCACGUCUCAACGGCAGCUGAACAGAAAGCAACGGCUAGCUACGGG
rnacentral:rRNA from 1 species